UGCGCGCCUAGCCAGAAGGCAUUCGCACCGCCGCCGCCGCCCUCCCUCCUGCGGCCGUUACUGGCCUUGACCGGGGCGACCAGCGAUGCUAGUACAACUGAGUGGCUGCUCAGCCCCCCCACAGUCUGCUGCGGGCUAGAAGCGCCAAAGCGAACCGGCUCGGCUUCCGGAAACUGUAGCCCGGCGCAGAGGCAGGUGAAGCUAGAUUCGAAUCCCGAGGGUGGGCUGUUGACUCUCAACUCUGCUAUUUGAGCACUACUAGGAAAGCUGUUGGCGAGGAACAUAGUGUACAGGCUGCACCGGGCGUGAGUGCCCCAAGUGGAAGGUGAAUGGCUGUCACAUGGCCGUUUAUAACUAACUGUUCAGCCCUUGAGAGAAUGUGUACGGACUUCUAUGUGCUAUCACCCUGGCCAGCCAAAGAACAGGGCUUUGACUCUUGACCUGAAUUGGGAAUGAAAGGACUCAGCUUUCCGCCCCCCGGGAAGAAACUCUGGGAGGGGGAGAAUUGGCCAAAGUGCGACACCAGAGCUAGUCAUUUGGACUCCUUUGUCACGGUUUGAAUGUCGUGACUCGUCGAUUUUGCGGGUGUGGAGCCUUCUUCAUAUAGUUAGCGCUUGAAAGCGCAUUAUCUAAUUGUAACACCUGCAUUAAGACCAGCCAAAAGAAUUUUCUCGUUUCAAAAGUACUCGUGCUUACCCAAAAAAAAAAAAAAAAGACGCCAGUAGAACGCCUGCUACUUUAUCAUUCCUAAAUUUAUUUAGAACAUUACUUACCCCAGUCUAGGGCUCAAGAAUCUGAGCCCAGCUCCCCAAGACACUGUGCUAGACUCAACCACUGGUUCUCCGUGCCCUCAUUUCUCUGUUAAGCAGCAGGACAGGUUUUAUUUGAACUCAUCGGAUUUUUUAAAGUAAUAACUUACUAGAAUACUAAGGCAUUUACACUGAAUAUGAGAUAAUUUGAGGAAAGCCCCUUCCACCUCUAAAACUGAGCAUCUUAAAAAUGCAUUGACCGCACUUGGACCCUAAAAGAAGCAAGAUCCCCAAAUGGAAGCCAGAAUUUCUAGGUGAUGUUUUCAAAAGUGGAGUUUUUAGCCAGAAUUUUUCCUUAACGUAGAGCUUCAGGUAACUUCUACAUUUCACCUUCAUCAUCGUCAUAUGUAAGAAAAUUUUGAAAGAAAUUGUUGUAAAGCAUGCACAAUUAAAAUUGACUGCAGUUGUCAGUGCACUAAACAUGAAGGUGCCAAUAUUAAGGAUGUGAGUCAGUGUCAAAAAAUACUUAGUAUCAGAAUUGAGAAUUAGAAAGGGUAGAGAACAUCUAGUACAAUCCUCUGGUUUUGCAGCCUAGCAAAGCUGGAGACAGUGUUAAUGAGCCAAACACUUAAGUAGCAAAUAUGUCCAGUUCUGAUUUGAACACCAGUACCCUUCCAUUACACUUGACUCCCUCUCCCUUGGAAUAAAGGCUUCCCACCACUCCA
rnacentral:lncRNA from 1 species